UACGGAGGGUACAAGCGUUAUCCGGAUUCACUGGGUUUAAAGGGUGCGUAGGUGGGUUGGUAAGUCAGUGGUGAAAUCUCCGAGCUUAACUUGGAAACUGCCGUUGAUACUAUCAAUCUUGAAUAUCGCGUAGGUAAGCGGAAUAUGUCAUGUAGCGGUGAAAUGCUUAGAUAUGACAUAGAACACCAAUUGCGAAGGCAGCUUACUUCACGAUCAUUGACACUGAGGCACGAAAGCGUGGGGAGCAAACAGG
rnacentral:rRNA from 1 species